rnacentral:lncRNA from 1 species
UUUCCUUUUGGGGAGUAUUACGUCGCAUAAAACAGGAAACUCUUUGGAAAAGCAGGCCAGAAAUUGUUUUGGGAAGAUAUAUUAAAUUAAAGUACAAGUUGGAUUGAGACAUAGAGACACUGAAGAAAGAACAGAUGCGUGGCUACUGGAAUGUAACUGAUAAAUAAUAUCUAAGUUGUCAGUGACAAUGACAAUGGAAGGCAAAGAAACCCACAGGACCAUUUAGAUCUGUGGUAGACUGGACUUAGGAAGAGAAUGACUGGAGGGCUCUUUUGUGUCAGAGAAGACAUAAAACAUGAACUUCAAAUAACUGUAGACUGAAACCAUCCAGGUGGGUGUUUUGUUCAAAUUUAGUUUGAUGAAAAUGGCUGGGAAUGUUU